rnacentral:rRNA from 1 species
GACGAACGCUGGCGGCGUGCUUAACACAUGCAAGUCGAGCGGAGCGGCGAACGGGUGAGUAACGCGAGAGUAACUGCCCCCCUCUCUGGGUUAACAGUUGAAAACGGCAGCUAAUGACGGAUAGUGGGGGCUGACUCGCGUCCUAUUGGCUUGUUGGUGGGGUAGUGGCUUACCAAGGCGACGACGGGUCGCCGGCCUUAGAGGGCGACCGGCCACAUUGGGCUGAGAUACGGCCCAAACGCCUACGGGAGGCAGCGGUGGGGAAUAUUGCACAGUAGGGCAACCCCUGAUGCAGCGGCGCCGCGUGCGGGAUGACGGCUUGCGGGUUGUAAACCGCUUUCAGCCAUGACGCGGUAGUGGCAGAAGAAGCACCGGCUAACUACGUGCCAGCAGCCGCGGUAAUUC